ACCCCCCUGUGAAGUCCUCUCGGUCUGGAAAAACGCGCAGCAAUGAUAGUGAUUCUGAGUCAGAAGCCGUUGCAACGCCCGCAGCCGUCCCAGGUCCUAACACGAACGGUUUUUCCGCCAAAGGAAGCGAAGACCCUGAGUUGAAAGAGGUCAUGAGCAAAAUAAAUUCGUCUUUCCCCGCCGAUCAGCAAAGCCCCGCUGAGGCCUAAUCAGUGGACUCUAAUACUCCCUAGAUGUUCACUUUUCUAUGAAGCUGACCCCA